rnacentral:misc_RNA from 1 species
GCCUUUUGUUGCUCCGGCAGUGAAUCCACAAGAUCUUCCCGUUGAUUAUUCCGGUUUCAUCGCCGUAGUUUUCGGCAUCGCCGGUGUCAUGUUCAGGUACAAGCUUAGUUCGUGGCUAGCCAUCAUAUUUUGCGCCCAAUCGCUUGCGAACAUGAGGAAUGUUGAGAACGAUCUCAAGCAGAUUUCUAUGGCCAUGAUGUUUGCUAUUAUGGGAUUAGUGACAAAUUACUUGG